AAACGUUCAACUCUUAUUAGAGCCGCAGUUCGACUCAAGCCAUGGAACGGGGACUUGAG
ncrna:Prochlorococcus marinus subsp. marinus str. CCMP1375 Glutamine-II riboswitch (downstream peptide RNA)